GAUGAACGCUGGCGGCGUGCCUAAUACAUGCAAGUCGAGCGAACAGACGAGGAGCUUGCUCCUCUGACGUUAGCGGCGGACGGGUGAGUAACAGGUGGAUAACCUACCUUUAAGACUGGGAUAACUUUGGGAAACCGGAGCUAAUACCGGAUAAUAUAUUGAACCGCAUGGUUCAAUAGUGAAAGACGGUUUUGCUGUCACUUAUAGAUGGAUCCGCGCCGCAUUAGCUAGUUGGUAAGGUAACGGCUUACCAAGGCGACGAUGCGUAGCCGACCUGAGAGGGUGAUCGGCCACACUGGAACUGAGACACGGUCCAGACUCCUACGGGAGGCAGCAGUAGGGAAUCUUCCGCAAUGGGCGAAAGCCUGACGGAGCAACGCCGCGUGAGUGAUGAAGGUCUUCGGAUCGUAAAACUCUGUUAUUAGGGAAGAACAAAUGUGUAAGUAACUAUGCACGUCUUGACGGUACCUAAUCAGAAAGCCACGGCUAACUACGUG
rnacentral:rRNA from 1 species